rnacentral:rRNA from 1 species
CCUACGGGUGGCAGCAGUGAGGAAUAUUGGUCAAUGGCCGGAAGGCUGAACCAGCCAUGCCGCGUGAAGGUCAGUGCCCUAUGGGCGUUAAACUUCUUUUGUGCGGGAGCAAUAAUGGUCACGUGUGGCCAGACGAGAGUACCGUACGAAUAAGCAUCGGCUAACUCCGUGCCAGCAGCCGCGGUAAUACGGGGAAUGAAAGCGUUAUCCGGGUUUAUUGGGUUUAAAGGGUGCGUAGGCUGUGAGGUAAGUCAGCGGUGAAAUGCCCCGGCUCAACGGGGUGAAGUGCCAUUGAUACUGCCUGGCUGGAAUGCGGAUGCCGUGGGAGGAAUGUGUGGUGUAGCGGUGAAAUGCAUAGAUAUCACACAGAACACCGAUUGCGAAGGCAUCUCACGAAUCCGCGAUUGACGCUGAUGCACGAAAGCGUGGGUAUCAAACAGGAUUAGAUACCCCUGUAGUC